rnacentral:rRNA from 1 species
AUAACACUCUACAGUGGAUCACUUGGCUCGGGGGUCGAUGAAGAACGCAGCG